GAUGAAGAACGUAGCGAAAUGCGAUAACUAAUGUGAAUUGCAGAAUUCCGUGAAUCAUCGAGUCUUUGAACGCACAUUGCGCCCCCUGGUAUUCCGGGGGGCAUGCCUGUCCGAGCGUCAUUGCUGCCCAUCAAGCACGGCUUGUGUGUUGGGUCCCGUCCCCCUCUCCCGGGGGACGGACCCGAAAGGCAGCGGCGGCACCGCGUCCGGUCCUCGAGCGUAUGGGGCUUUGUCACUCGCUCUUGUAGGCCCGGCCGGCGCUUGCCGACACCCAACCAUUUUUUUCAGGUUGACCUCGGAUCAGGUAGGGAUACCCGCUGAACUUAAGCAUAUCAAUAAGCGGAGGA
rnacentral:misc_RNA from 1 species